GACGAACGCUGGCGGCGUGCUUAACACAUGCAAGUCGAACGGAAAGGCCCUGCUUUUGUGGGGUGCUCGAGUGGCGAACGGGUGAGUAACACGUGAGUAACCUGCCCUUGACUUUGGGAUAACUUCAGGAAACUGGGGCUAAUACCGGAUAGGAGCUCCUGCUGCAUGGUGGGGGUUGGAAAGUUUCGGCGGUUGGGGAUGGACUCGCGGCUUAUCAGCUUGUUGGUGGGGUAGUGGCUUACCAAGGCUUUGACGGGUAGCCGGCCUGAGAGGGUGACCGGCCACAUUGGGAUUGAGAUACGGCCCAGACUCCUACGGGAGGCAGCAGUGGGGAAUAUUGCACAAUGGGCGGAAGCCUGAUGCAGCAACGCCGCGUGCGGGAUGACGGCCUUCGGGUUGUAAACCGCUUUCGCCUGUGACGAAGCGUGAGUGACGGUAAUGGGUAAAGAAGCACCGGCUAACUACGU
rnacentral:rRNA from 1 species